UGAAAAUCCAGUGUCUUGAGCAGGGUCCUCCUCCUUUGACACCAAGAAGCCGUGCCCUUGGAGGAAGUCGGCAAGUCUCCCAGCCCUUGCCUUCGGACAGUCGGUCUUGCUGGGCUGGCAGACAGAACGGCUGCCGUGGACGUUAUGGUUAUUGCCCACUGACAGCGCCUCCGUCCUCCCUCCGCCCCCACUCCACGACUCCCUCCCCUGGUUCUCCCAGGUCGGGUCGGCUCUUGGAUUGUUCCGGCCCGGCCCUCCUGUGACCUCCAACCACACGCAGACACGAAAGCUCGAGGAGCUGCGGUGCCCCGUUUAAUCAGAACUGGAAAUGAACUGGGCUGGGGAUCAAGAAUCCGAGCCGUUCCUCCCCCCACAAAAAAAAGAGGGACUCAAAACACAGCUCUCAUUGCAUUCUGCUCAAGGAAAUUGUAUUGGAACACCGGUAAGACCAAGGGGGUGGG
rnacentral:lncRNA from 1 species